rnacentral:rRNA from 1 species
CAGCCGUAAACAAUGUGCGUUAGGUGUGUCGGUAACCACGCGUUACUGAUGCGCCGAAGAGAAAUCGUGAAACGCACCACCUGGGAAGUACGGUCGCAAGGCUGAAACUUAAAGGAAUUGGCGGGGGAGCACCACAACAGGUGGAGCCUGCGGUUUAAUUGGAUUCAACGCCGGACAUCUCACCGGAUAAGACAGCUGAAGGAUUGUCAAUCUGAAGGUUUUACAUGACUAGCUGAGAGGUGGUGCAUGGCGUCAGUGACU